AUCCGCUCCGUUUUAUUUAGAUCAACAAAAAUUCUGAUCUAUAUGUGUUUCCGGAUUAAUCAGAUAUCAAUAUCGGAAAACAAAUCGAAGCAUUUGCCUAACCAUGUCAAAAUACAAUCAAGUUGACUUAUACGAAGUCUAGGUGACAUGAGAGAGAUGGAGCACUAAGAGAGGUAAGGAGUAACGAGUUCCACGUCCUUACGAAUAAGA